GACGGAGGGUGCGAGCGUUAUUCGGAAUCAUUGGGCGUAAAGAGCGUGUAGGCGGCCGGUUAAGUCAGGUGUGAAAGCCCGGGGCUCAACCUCGGAAGUGCACUUGAAACUGGUCGGCUUGAGUUCGGGAGAGGGUAGCGGAAUUCCUGGUGUAGAGGUGAAAUUCGUAGAUAUCAGGAGGAACAUCGGUGGCGAAGGCGGCUACCUGGGCCGAAACUGACGCUGAGACGCGAAAGCGUGGGGAGCAAACAGG
rnacentral:rRNA from 1 species